rnacentral:piRNA from 1 species
UUACCUCGGGCCAUCUACUGUGACGGUC